ACUACAUAUGAUGAUUAAAAGGGACUUAAUACUGAAAUAUGUGAUGUCACCUUUUAUAUUAAUUCUGAUGCUGG
ensembl:snoRNA SNORD82 Small nucleolar RNA SNORD82